rnacentral:lncRNA from 1 species
AUGCAGCAGCUCAUCCUGGAGGCCAUCUCCAAGCAUGUGGAGGAAAAGAAGGUGAUGAGCAGUAGUCAGCAUGGCUUCACGAAGGGGAAAUCAUGCCUAACCAAUCUGAUAGCCUUCUAUGAUGGAAUGACUGGCUGGGUAGAUGAGGGGAGAGCAGUGGCUGUUGUCUGCCUUGACUUCAGCAAGGCUUUUGACACUGUCUCCCAUAACAUCCUCAUAGACAAGCUGAGGAAGAGUGGGUUAGAUGAGUGGACAGUGAGGUGGCUUGAGACCUGGCUGAAUGGCAGAGCUCAGAGGGUUAUGCUCAGCGGUGCAGAGUCUAGUUGGAGGCCUGUAGCUAGCGGUGUCCCCCAGGGGUCAGGACUGGGCCCAGUCUUGUUCAGCUUCUUCCUCAAUGACCUGGAUGAAGGCACAGAGGGCACCCUCAGCAAGUUUGCUGCUGAUCGCAAACUGGGAGGAGUGGCUGAGACCCCAGAAGGUUGUGCUGCCAUUCAGAGAGCCGUGGAGAGGCUGGAGAGGUGGGUGCAGAGGAACCUCCUGAAGUUCAACAAAGGCAAGUGCAGGCUGCUGCAGCUAGGGAGCAAUAAGGCCAUGCAGCAGGACAGGUUGGGGGUUGAUCUGCUGGAAAGCAGCUGUGUGGAGAAGGACGUGGGAGUGCUGGUGGACACCAAGUUAAGCAUGAGGCAGCAAUGUGCCCUUGUGGCCAAGGCGGCCAAUGGGAUGCUGGGCUGCAUUAGGAAGAGUGUUGCCAGCAGGUGGAGGGAGGUGAUGCUCCUCCUCUCCUCAGCCCUGCUGAGGCCACAGCUGCAGUGCUGCAUCCAGUUCUGGGCCCCCCAGUACAAGAGGGAUGUGGCACUACUGGAGCAAGUCCAGCGAAGGGCUACAAAGAUGAUUAGGGGACCGGAGCAUCUCUCCUCUGAGGAAAGGCUGCGAGAGCUGGGCUUGUUGAGCAUGGAGAAGAGAAGACUGAAAGGGGGCAUCUUCUUAAUGUGUACAAGUAUCUGA